rnacentral:snRNA from 1 species
GUACGGACAAGGGGAAUCC